UAAAUACGAAAAUUAAAUAAGUGCAAAAAUAAAAUAAAUUAUGAAAACACAUUAAAACAUAAAAAUAAUCAAAGCAAACCGAAUAAAUGCUUAAGUACAAACAUGGAAGAACGUGCGUCCAAAAUGCACUGAUCAAAUUCCAAUAGUCCAUCCUUUUCCUUGAUCCAUUUCUAUUCCAUCAAGCAUCUGAAGCAAGGCCAAGCAUAAUUGAGAGCAAGAUCGUGUCAAUCUGAAGCUCCAUUGAAGGUG
rnacentral:lncRNA from 1 species